rnacentral:lncRNA from 1 species
GUCAAAAUAAAAAAUCACAACCAAUACUAGGAGGACGUUUCAAAGUCCUCUCUAACACCCAAUACGCCCACGGCCCUCCUUACACACCCCUUCCCUUCCGCUCCUCUCUGUCUGGCAAGUUCGUCCCAAGAGUCGUGGCAGCUGCAACGACGACCCACGGCCUCAGCGAGCCGCUGCAGGUCCGCGCCGGUGCUACCGAGCCGCGCUACGCCGCCGCCCGCCGCGCGCCAGGCCCUACGGGUACCGGCUGGGAGCAGCUUCCGGCCGGCUCAGAGGCGUGUCACAUCGACAAGGCACCGUUCUCCGGCGCUCCGACCCGGUGCUGCAACCAGAACGGCUCGGGGAAAACAAGAACGGCGGGAGAAGAGGCCCGGGAGAAGAGGAGGAGGCUGCCUGGCUUGAUUCCUCAUUUCACCCCCCCGGGCCACCUCCCUUUCCUUCCAAGGAGUCCAACAUGUAGUACAAUGUGGCACUGCCCGCAGCCCAGCCCACGUCCUUCGUUGGAAAAUAUAUCUUGCUAUAGAAGGAGCCCUGCCUGUCGCCUGCGGUCUUCUCUCUAGUAACCUUAGUAACGCCUCCGCGGAGCAUCCUCGCCCAGCAAGCGGCUCAGCUCAGAUCUGCCUUAUUACCCUCCUCUUCCCCCAGGAAAACAGUGCUCAUAAUUAGAACAAAAAUAGCUUCUCCGCGUUCCGCCACCCACACAAUAGAUACUGUUCCAAACGCAGUGCUGGAGGCUGAAGAAAUCGAAUUGGUCUUCCUGCAUUUUGCUUGAGCUACACCGUGAUGUCCCACUCCCCUUUCCGCUGGGUUCAGAUCUUGUCUCCCUCUAGGAGCUGCGUUUAUUCAUCUCGUCCUUCGUACCCAGCAGUGUCUUUGAAAUCACAGGAGCUACAAGAAUAUUCGUUGAAUAGAACUGGCAUGCCUCUGGCUUUCACAGCAGUCCCAUUUUAAGAAAAACCCUGGCACAAAAUACACUUUCAUUUUUACAUCUUUUAUCCUAAACAGUAGGUAACAAUAUCCCUGUCAAUCAGUUCAAGACUUCUUUUCAUUCCUGGCAGUAAAUUGUAGGUACAUCCUGAUUUACCCAGAGCAGUAAGAGUGAUCUUGUUAGUUACACGAUUAUAAAUUCAUGUAUUUCAAGAUGUGUAUGAACUAUACUGCAAUAAAGAUAUUUCCUUAAGAAACUAAGGACAACGGGAAGCCUUAUACGUUACUAUUAUAACAUUUAUUUGGUGGACCAGUCAUUUUUGAUAAAUACCUGAAAGCCAAAUAUUUGUUCUUUUACUAAUAAAGUAAAAAAAGGCUAUCUUAUAUCUAAGUCCUUUAUACUAAUAUUUGACAUAUAUUAGCAUUUUGUUUCUUUUUUGGCAUCUUUUAUCUGUUACUUCAUUUUGCUUUUCCAACAACUCUGUGCCGCUGUUGUAGCCCUGCAUUUAAAUUUUCAAGUUCGUG